UACGAAGGGGGCAAGCGUUACUCGGAAUUACUGGGCGUAAAGCGCGCGUAGGUGGUUUGUUAAGUCUGUUGUGAAAGCCCCGGGCUCAACCUGGGAAUGGCAAUGGAUACUGGCAAGCUAGAGUGCGGUAGAGGGUAGUGGAAUUCCCGGUGUAGCGGUGAAAUGCGUAGAGAUCGGGAGGAACACCAGUGGCGAAGGCGGCUACCUGGACCAGCACUGACACUGAGGCGCGAAAGCGUGGGGAGCAAACAGG
rnacentral:rRNA from 1 species